rnacentral:lncRNA from 1 species
CGCUGAUGGAUGGGAUGCAAGCUCUGGUGUAGAGGAGGCACAGGACACCCAUUAUAGCUCACACCUUUCAUUUUCCCAUGCCUUGAUUUACGGGCGUUCUGCAUGGCUUGCUUCUUCUGGUUUUCUGAGAUUUCCAUUCCCAUUUCCUUAUCUUCUCGAACUCUUCUCCUUUCACUUUCACACGCCUCCAUCCAUCUCUUCUUAUCCUCUUGCUUUUUUGCACAGAACAAAUGAACCUCUUCUGUUGCUCUGUUUAUUAUCUUAAAAGCAUUCUUAACAUUAAUGUUAAAGUCUUUGUCUCUGCCAUCCUCAGUGUCCACAAGUUCCAUCUCAUCCAUGUCGAU